ensembl:misc_RNA 7SK 7SK RNA
GGAUGUGAGGUCGAUCUGGCUGCGACAUCUGUCGCCCUAUUGAUCGCCAGGGUUGAUUCGGCUGAUCUGGCUGGCUAGGCGGAUGUCCCCUUCCUCCCUCACUGCUCCAUGUGAGUCCCUCCCAAAGCUGCGUGCUGCUGCGCUCUGUUGAAGAGGCCGGCCUUCCCCGAAUAGAGAGUAUACGAGUAGCUGCGCUCCCCUGCUAGAACCUCCAAACAAGCUCUUAAGAAGGAAUUAGGAGGACUCCCUCACUCACUAGGAGAAUUUGAUGACUCAAAAUAAAACUUACACAGGCAAGGAGGGACAGAGAUUUAUUCUUCCUU